UUACGUAUACUACGUACGGAUAUUGGGCGUAAGAGCUCGUAGGCGGUUUGUCGCGUCUGCUGUGAAAGACCGGGGCUCAACUCCGGUUCUGCAGUGGGUACGGGCAGACUAGAGUGCAGUAGGGGAGACUGGAAUUCCUGGUGUAGCGGUGAAAUGCGCAGAUAUCAGGAGGAACACCGAUGGCGAAGGCAGGUCUCUGGGCUGUAACUGACGCUGAGGAGCGAAAGCAUGGGGAGCGAACAGGAUUAGAUACCCUGGUAGUCCAUGCCGUAAACGUUGGGCACUAGGUGUGGGGGACAUUCCACGUUUUCCGCGCCGUAGCUAACGCAUUAAGUGCCCCGCCUGGGGAGUACGGCCGCAAGGCUAAAACUCAAAGGAAUUGACGGGGGCCCGCACAAGCGGCGGAGCAUGCGGAUUAAUUCGAUGCAACGCGAAGAACCUUACCAAGGCUUGACAUGAACCGGUAAUACCUGGAAACAGGUGCCCCGCUUGCGGUCGGUUUACAGGUGGUGCAUGGUUGUCGUCAGCUCGUGUCGUGAGAUGUUGGGUUAAGUCCCGCAACGAGCGCAACCCUCGUUCUAUGUUGCCAGCGCGUUAUGGCGGGGACUCAUAGGAGACUGCCGGGGUCAACUCGGAGGAAGGUGGGGACGACGUCAAAUCAUCAUGCCCCUUAUGUCUUGGGCUUCACGCAUGCUACAAUGGCCGGUACAAAGGGUUGCGAUACUGUGAGGUGGAGCUAAUCCCAAAAAGCCGGUCUCAGUUCGGAUUGGGGUCUGCAACUCGACCCCAUGAAGUCGGAGUCGCUAGUAAUCGCAGAUCAGCAACGCUGCGGUGAAUACGUUCCCGGGCCUUGUACACACCGCCCGUCAAGUCACGAAAGUUGGUAACACCCGAAGCCGGUGGCCUAACCCUUGUGGGGGGAGCCGUCGAAGUGGGACCGGCGAUUGGGACUAAGUCGUACCAAAGUUAGCCA
rnacentral:rRNA from 1 species